CGGUAAUACGGAGGGUGCGAGCGUUAAUCGGAAUUACUGGGACGUAAAGCGCAUGCAGGUGGUUGUUAAGUCAGAUGUGAAAGGACCCGGGGCGUCAACCUACGGAAGUUGCUAUUUAGUAAACGUGGCAGACUAGAGUACUGUAGAGGGGGGUAGGAAUUUCAGGUGUAGCGGUGAAAAUGCGUAGAGAUCUGAAGGAAUACCGGUGGCGAAGGCGGCCCCCUGGACAGAUACUGACACUCAGAUGCGAAAGCGUGGGGAGCAAACAGGAUUAGAUACCCUGGUAG
rnacentral:rRNA from 1 species